rnacentral:lncRNA from 1 species
GAAUACAGUUCUUACACAUUUCUUGUCAGAUGCAUGUCUAGGCUUUCUGUUCCUCUUGUUACUGUGACUGGAAUCUUUUUGUUCCCCUAUUGUACUUGCUACUUGCUGUGACUAGUACCUAUAUAGAAAAUUGAGUCAGUGUAAUUCAUGUGAGUGGCUGUAACAGUCUUAAAGUUUCAGUGCUUUAACACCUAGCAAUUUUAUUUCUUGCUGAUGGACAAGUUGCUGUAAGCUGGGUCACUUUCCUCUCAGUAAUGCCUUAGCACGCCGGUUCUUUCCACGGCAACCAUGCAGAGUGGAGAAUGUCUGGACUCUCUUCCUUAAGAUUGCUGCCUGCAUGCUGGCCUUCCCUUUCUGAAUGCAUCUCUUUCUUGUGAUGGUUUUCCAAGUGGAGCUUCACAGCGCACGCUACUAACCUCUGCUCUUCUCCGGAAUGACAAGAGCCUCUGGCGUGUGACCUGUGCUCCAAGAAAUAAAAGGCAAGAGUUUCACUAAAUAUUUUGCUGCAAGAUAGUGUUGAUCCAAUUUUCUAGUCUUAAAUAUCAUUUUUCUUACCUCUUGACAUCCAGCUGCUAGAAUAAUGCUAUGUGGUUUAGGUUUUAUUAUUUUUUAAAAAACCAAAUACCUUGUUUCCAGUCACUAAGUUCUUAUUAGGGUAAUUAACGUAGGCUGAUGUCACAAACAACGCACAGAUCUCAUCAUUGAAGCAAUUUCUUUCUCAUGUCAUAGGCCCCUAAUGGAUUUGCUCUGAUUUUGAAGGUGUUUUACCUUUGUCUUUUCUAGGAAAUUGGGGAAGAGCGAGGCGAAGGAGUAAUAUCUUGUUCCGUCGGCAUCGUCGAUCCAAGGCUUUCUUGUGAAUUCGUUUUUACCACAUUUGAAGUGUGAUGCCCAGAGUGGAACUCGGAGCUGCUGGCACCCGCAUCCAUCUUUGGAGGCUCUGGACAUAAUCAGUGGAGCAGGCAGAAGACCUGCAGCCCCAAGCCUGCUCGUUGCCGUCUCCCCUUCACAAGUUGAAUGCACUCAUGGACCACGGAGUGAAUCCAGCGUAUCACCCUAGUCUACACUUUGGGCACUUCACCAAAUGACCUCAGCAGAGUGGGAAAGUCUCACAUAGGUGACUUACUAUGCCCAGUAGCCUGCGUGUCUCUCCACAGAUACUGACUUCCCUGUAACUUUACUAUUUUGGGGUUAUUUAUGUUUAACAACCAAAACAUCCUGUCAAGUUUUAGUAAAUCGGGUGAGAUAUCUAAAUUAUGUUAAUAAUUUUUAACACUUUUCAUUUUGAAAUAGUUUAAAUCUUAAAAGAAGUUGCAAAAAUGGUACAGAAAGUUCCUACAUGUCAUUUCCCCAUCUUUUGCCUAUAAUCUUCCCUAGCCAUAGCACACUGUCAAAACCAGGCCAUUGAUAUUGGACAACCCUAUUAGCUCAACUGAAG